rnacentral:lncRNA from 1 species
CUUCAGCCUCUGAUCCCUCACAUGGCCAGUGGGACUCUGCUGCUUCUGAUCCCAUCAGCCUGCCUAAUAAAUCUCUUUAUUAUAUUCUGUUCCUCUAGAGACCCCUAAUACAGCUGUACAGCAAGGAAAGAAACCAGCAAGCCCAAGAUUGCUACAUACAACAGCAUGGAUGGAUCUUGAAUGCACAAUGUCUAGUGUAGGAAGCCAGACCUGAGACCUGAGAGCACAUGUGCCUUGUGAUUCCACAUGUGUGAGCUGCAGGGACAGGAGAGAUUUCUUGUAAUAGAAGCCGGAAGGGAAGGGAGCAUGACCCUGAGCAAACCAGCCACUGCUGAAUAAACAGGAACUGAGAAUUCAGCCAACAGAUGCUCCGUCUCUACACCAGGAGUGCAAAGAGUCAGCUGUGGAAGAGUGCAAAAGGGCUGUCUGUGUGCUGGAGAUCCGAAGGAUCCAGCUGAAGGUCUGGAACUCACUGCAGUGUCCUGUGUGAGUCGCUAUCAGGAGGCCACAGGGUCUGUGAUGCAAGCUGAAAGGUCUGCACUGGAAGCCAGGAGAUGACGUCCCAGGUGAAGGUGAAGACUGGAGCUCCCC